UACGUAGGUGGCAAGCGUUGUCCGGAUUUACUGGGCGUAAAGGGCGCGUAGGCGGGCUGUCAAGUCUGGGGUGAAAUCCCGCGGCUCAACCGUGGAACUGCCUCAGAUACUGACGGUCUCGAGGGAGGUAGGGGCGAGCGGAACUGAUGGUGGAGCGGUGAAAUGCGUUGAUAUCAUCAGGAACUCCGGUGGCGAAGGCGGCUCGCUGGACCUCUUCUGACGCUGAGGCGCGAAAGCCAGGGGAGCAAACGGG
rnacentral:rRNA from 1 species